AAGUAUAGAAUGUAAUAGACUCUUUCUCUUCUCCUUCGGCCACAGGCGGAAUCCAGAACCCUCUCCGAGACUUAUGAGGUGAGUAGAAAGGAGGGUAAAACACUCGCCGCUACUGCCGGAAGUGAGACGUGUUUUGUACCCUGGGGAAUAUUAUGUUAUCAAUAAAAUCCUUCUUUUUUCUAUUUUAUUUUCCAGCCUCCUGAUGGUCGGCUGACCAAGGAUGUGCUUGUUGGAGAGGGCGGCACUGGAGACGUCUACAAGGUAAGUUACCAACCAAUUCCUAGAGAGUAGGGGAACUGAACAAGAUUGUGAUCACUAGACACAAUCACACAAUGAUUUAGGCAGACAUAUCAAGCUUCUGGUUUGGGGGCUGCAUUAGACCCUCUCUUUCCUACUUGUAUAUAAGUCAACCUUUCUGUCUGUAUUACAGGGACGACACCAUCGUAGAGGCGUGGUAGCGGUGAAGAUCGCCAACAUCAGCCGAGUACUGUAUCUUUAUAAUUCCAAUCACUAUAUAUCAAUCCUAUUUGUGUAGUUGCCUAUGUAAACUAAAGGGAUUUCUAUUAUUCCACUCCAGGAUGAAGAGUCAGUCUGCAGGGAGCUGAAGUUUCUCCAGCAGUUCGGAGGCCACAAGAACAUCGCCUCUUACUAUGGAGCCUACUACAGGGCUCCACUCACGGAGUGCUCAUCGGAGCUCUUGGAAGUAAGAAAUGAUUUACUGUAUCGUGUUCAUUCCUCUUGUGCCAAAACAAUCUCCACUGGAAGUGAUAGAAUACAUGACCUGAAAUAAUUUCUAUAUAUUGCAGAUUGUUCUUGAAUACUGUGGUGGAGGCUCUCUGUACAACCUCAUCAGUAAGACCAAUGGCCAAUCCCUGAAGGAGACCUGGAUUGGCUAUGUCUGCAAGGAGGUUUUAAAGGGGCUGCACCACAUCCACAAGAACCGGGCCGUUCAUAAAGACAUCAAGAGCCCGAACAUCAUGCUCACAGAGACGGCCAAAGUGAAGAUCAUCGACUUUGGACACAGCUGGGACCUGGACCCGCAAACUGGGUUGUG